CGUCGAUCCCCCUGUGCGGCGCGCGCUCCAUUUGCCGCAAUAUGCGGCGUAUAGGAGGUCCUGGAUCCACCGGUGCGCGGGAAAGGAGAAGGGGAUCCGCCGCUGCGCGAGAGGUCAGCGGCGAGCCGAUGACUCUAGGUCAUGUCGCCAUCAUCACAUGAGAGGUCUUCCAUGUGGUGAUCUGUCCAUGUGUGUUUGCUAUGGAACUGGUCAGUGGUUGAGCCCUAGAUUUGAGCUCCUCAUGGUUAUGGUAUAUCGGUUUGGGGAUUAUUGGAGGCUAGAUCUAGAUUAUUUUUCCAGAAGUGGAAUUCAUGAGCUGACUAUUUAAAAUGGCUGCUGAUCGGGUAGUUAACAUGCAUUAGGGAAAAUGGAGGACUGUCUAAAUGAAGAUGAGUUCCUUGUCCAGUGUAUUGUAGUCUCUAGGAGAGUGGCAAGGAAGAUACAUCCCUUAAGCUAUUAUGCUCUUUGCAGUGCUAUAAAAGCAGUUCGAAAUCAGUUGAACCAAAUCAAAACGCAUUAGACAAAACAACAGAGAAUGGAUAUGAUAUGCAUGGUUCUUGAAUCAUGGUAAGUGGCAUAUGUUCCCUAUACAUUGAUGUCAGUUUUAAAUCAACCGGAGUGGCAUACCCAAUAAUAUAGUGUCCAAGCCUUCUUUAAUUCCUUCUUUUGUCAAUCUGUGCCCUAAUCGUGUCAUAUAUUCAAAAGAUUUCUUAGA